rnacentral:rRNA from 1 species
AUUGAACGCUGGCGGCAGGCCUAACACAUGCAAGUCGAGCGAGCGGCGGACGGGAGAGUAAGGUAUGGGGAUCUGCCCGAUAGAGGGGGAUAACUACUGGACACGGUGGCUAAUACCGCAUACUAUCGGAUGAACCCAUAUGGGAUGAGCUAGGAGGUGGGGUAAAGGCACACCGAGACGACGAUCUCUAGCUGGUCUGAGAGGAUGAUCAGCCACACUGGGACUGAGACACGGCCCAGACUCCUACGGGAGGCAGCAGUGGGGAAUAUUGCACAAUGGGCUAAAGCCUGAUGCAGCCAUGCCGCGUGGAUGAAGAAGGCUUUAGGUUUGUAAAGUACUGUCAGCGGGGAGGCGUUACCCGCAGAAGAAGCACCGGCUAACUCCGUGCCAGCAGCCGCGGUAAUAC